AGUGAACGCUGGCGGUAGGCCUAACACAUGCAAGUCGAACGGCAGCACAGUAAGAGCUUGCUCUUACGGGUGGCGAGUGGCGGACGGGUGAGGAAUACAUCGGAAUCUACUUUUUCGUGGGGGAUAACGUAGGGAAACUUACGCUAAUACCGCAUACGACCUACGGGUGAAAGCAGGGGAUCUUCGGACCUUGCGCGAUUGAAUGAGCCGAUGUCGGAUUAGCUAGUUGGCGUGGUAAAGGCCCACCAAGGCGACGAUCCGUAGCUGGUCUGAGAGGAUGAUCAGCCACACUGGAACUGAGACACGGUCCAGACUCCUACGGGAGGCAGCAGUAGGGAAUCUUGGACAAUGGGCGAAAGCCUGAUCCAGCCAUACCGCGUGGGUGAAGAAGGUCUUCGGGUUGUAAAGCCCUGUUGUUGGGAAAGAAAAGCAGCAGGUUAAUCCCCCGCUGUCCUGACGGUACCCAAAGAAUAAGCACCGGCUAACUUCGUG
rnacentral:rRNA from 1 species